GUUCCCGAUGAUGCAGCAUUUGAACCAUGCUAAUUCUGAUGAUCAAUGAUUGAUUUUCUUUAUAUUUUACUGAGGGAACU